GAGACAAUUUUACAGUAUUGUUCCCCCUCCCCCCACAAUAACUCUAUCUCUUUGUAGUUUUUACCACUUAGAGUUGUCCACGCGGAUCCUCCAGCCGUUCACCAGUUACGGUUUGAGUUUUUCUACUCCAGCACUGGUUCCAAGUUUUGAUCUCUCUUCUGAACCACUGGAGCCAUAUUCCCAAUUGCCAGUUGAACAUUCCCACAUAUGGAACCUCAGAUGCUUCACACAUGAUAUGUCCAGGGGUUGGUGUCCUUUGAAGAUGUGGCUCUGCACUUUACCUGGGAGGAGUGUCAGGACCUGGAUGAUGUUCAGAGGACCCUGUACAGGGACGUGAUGGUGGAGACUGGUAUCAUUGGGGCAUUGCAUUACCAAACCUGAGAUGAUCUUCAAGCUAGAACAAGGAGCAGAGCCAUGGAUAGUAGAAGAAACCCCAAACCUGAGACUUUCAGCUGUCCAGAUCAUUGAUGACCUUAUUGAAAGGAGCCAUGAAAGUCAUGAUAGAUUUUUCUGGAAAAUUGUAAUCACCAACAGCAACACAUCAACUCAGGAGAGAGUUGAAUUAGGAAAAACAUUUAAUUUGAACUCAAACCAUGUUUUAAAUCUGAUUAUAAAUAAUGGAAACAGUUCAGAAAUGAAGCCUGGGCAGUUUAAUGUCUGCCAGAACGUGCUUUUCCCUAUUAAGCCUGGUGAGACACAGUCUGGAGAGAAACCUCAUGUCCUUGAUAUAACCAGGAGAUCCCACAGACGUCAUGAACAUCUUACUCAGCAUCACAAGAUUCAAACUCUGCUGCAGGCCUUUUCAAUGUAAUGAACAAGUGAAAACCUUCAACAUGGAGGCAAUGUUCUUUAUACAUAAGAGGGUUCAUAUAGGACAGACCGUUGGUAAAUAUAAUGAAUAUGAGAAAGCCUGUAAUAACUGAGCUAUUAUUGUCCAAGGGAUAACUCAGGUAGGACAGCCAACUUGCUGUAGAAAGUCUGACUUCACCAAACAUCAGCAAACACACACAGGAGAGAAACCCCAUGAAUGUGUUGAAUGUGAGAAACCCUCCGUUAGCAAAUCAGACCUUAUGAUACAGCACAAGAUGCCUACUGAGGAAAAACCUUAUGCCUGUAACUGGUGUGAAAAAUUGUUCAGCUGUAAGUCUGGCCUCACUAUCCAUCAGAGAAUUCACACAGGGGAAAAGCCCUAUGGAUGCAAUGAAUGUGGAAAAACCGUUUGCCAUAAGUCAUUCCUUACUUUACAUCAGAGAACUCAUACUGGGGAAAAACCAUAUGCAUGUAACAAAUGUGGAAAAACGUAUAGCCACAAGUCAUACCUUACAGUACAUCACAGAACUCACACGGGAAAAACCCUAUGAAUGUAAUGAAUGUGGAAAAUCCUUUUACUGUAAGUCAUAAGUCAUUUCUAACUAUACGUCAGAGAACUCAUGCUGGCAAAAAACCCUAUGAAUGUAAUAAAUGUGAGAAAACCUUUAUCAAUAAAUUAAACCUUGGGAUACACAAGAGAACUCACACAGGGGAAAGACCCUAUGAAUGUAAUGAAUGUGGAAAAACCUUUCGUCAGAAGUCAAAUCUCAGCACCCAUCAGGGAACACACACAGGGGAGAAACCUUACAUAUGAAAUGAAUGUGGAAAAACCUUUCAUUGCAAGUCAUUCCUCACCAUACACCAGAGUACUCACACGGGGAGAAACCGUAUGGAUGUAACGAAAGUGGAAAAACUUUUUGUCAGAAAUCAUACCUUAUUAUACAUCAGAGAACUCACACUGGGGAAAAGCUCUAUGAAUGUAAUGAAUGUGGAAAAUCCUUUCAUCAGAAGGCAAAUAUUCAGAAGCAUCAAGGUAUUCACACGGGGGAGAAACCCUAUGAAUGUAGCAAAUGUGGAAAAACCUUCAGUCAGAAGUCAGUCCUCACUGUACAUCAUAGAACUCAGACUGGAGAAAAACCUUUCGAAUGUAAUCAGUGUGGGAAAACUUUUUGUUACAAGUCAAACCUCAAUAUGCAUCAGGGAAUUCACUCAGGAGAGAAACCCUGUGAAUGUGAUGAAUGUAGGAAAACUUUUUACCAUAAGGCAGUUCUCACCAUACAUCAGAGAACUCACACAGGUGAGAAGCCAUUUGAAUGUAAGAAAACCUUCUCUCAGAAGUCAAAACUCUUUGUACAGCACAGAACUCACACAGGGGAAUAACACUUUAGUUAUAAUGAAUGUAGGAAAACUUUCUCCCAGAAGCCAGGCCUCAGUAUACAUCAGAGAACACACACAGGAGAAAAACCUUAUAAAUGUAAGGAAUGUGGGAAAACCUUUUGCCGGAAGUCACACCUCAGCAGGCAUCAACAAACCCAUAUAGGAGAGAAAUCUGAUAUAGCUGAUGCAGGCUAUGUAUUCCCUCAAAAUCACUUUUUUUUCCCUUGAACACACAACCUACACCUCUCCAGCUACUACUAUAGAUUUCUCCAUGCUCAGUCUAGGAGAAUAUGGACACAAAUGGUGACCAUUACCUCCUGACCUACCAACAAGAAGGUUAUAACCAUGCUGUAACAGAAGUGCUAUCAUGCAGGCUUUCUUGUUCCCAUUUUUACAGCACACUUCACACUUUAAUGUCACAGAUAUGGCUGUUUUCCUAGAAGCUCAUGUACCAACCUCUGCCAGCUUCAAACAUUUCUUCUGCAACUUUCUCACCUCUCUUCUCCUCCAUAGAAUUGAAGAGAGUUAGGGCCUUUCUCAGGAUUAGGCUUUGUCUCAAGGGAAUUUUGGGGCUGGUUUGAUCUUCUAUGCAGACCACUCAGACUUUCUCUGUGUCAGUAAAAAAUCUGGUUUUUUUUUAAAUCAUUCAUGUGUUCACUGGAGUAGCACCUAUAACUUCCUUCAAGAACUUUUUGUUUCCAUUCACAACUUGGGUAGCUCAUGCAAAAAGCUUAUCUUUGGCCUGUCUUAGCUUCUAACAUGCUUUCUUCACUAAGCUUGAUGAUUUCUACCUCUUGAUUUGAAGUGACAGAUGUGAACACUUCUUUUCACUUGAAUACAUAGUGGCCACUGCAGACUGGAGGGGCCUAAUUUCAUUGUUGUAUCUUGGGGAACGGGGGGCUGGAAGAGAGAAAUGGAGAUAGGGAAAUGACUAGCCAAUGAAACAGUCAAACACAACACUUUUCCAUCGUUUUUACUGUCUUCCAUAGAUUUCCACCACUCUGAGACAAUUCCAAUAGUAACAUCAGAAAUCACUGAUCACAGAUCAUCAUAACAGAUGUGAUAACUAAAAUCUUUGAAAGAUUGUGGGGAUUGCCAAAACAUGUGACACAGAUGUGAAGUGAGCACACGGUGUGGAAAAAUGGUGCUGAUCAGACUUACUGAGCACUUUGUGGCCACAAAUCUUUAAUUUGUUAAAAAGGUGAUGUUUCCAAGCUAAAUAAAGUGAAGCUCGAUAAAGUGA